UGCAGUCGACGCUGAAGCCGACAGCUUGCUGUUGGUGGAUGAGUGGCGAACGGGUGAGUAACACGUGAGUAACCUGCCCCUGAUUUCGGGAUAAGCCUGGGAAACUGGGUCUAAUACCGGAUACGACCAACCCUCGCAUGAGGGUUGGUGGAAAGUUUUUCGAUCGGGGAUGGGCUCGCGGCCUAUCAGCUUGUUGGUGGGGUAAUGGCCCACCAAGGCGACGACGGGUAGCCGGCCUGAGAGGGCGACCGGCCACACUGGGACUGAGACACGGCCCAGACUCCUACGGGAGGCAGCAGUGGGGAAUAUUGCACAAUGGGGGAAACCCUGAUGCAGCGACGCAGCGUGCGGGAUGACGGCCUUCGGGUUGUAAACCGCUUUCAGCAGGGAAGAAGCGAAAGUGACGGUACCUGCAGAAGAAGUACCGGCUAACUACGUGCCAGCAGCCGCGGUAAUACGUAGGGUACGAGCGUUGUCCGGAAUUAUUGGGCGUAAAGAGCUCGUAGGUGGUUGGUCACGUCUGCUGUGGAAACGCAACGCUUAACGUUGCGCGUGCAGUGGGUACGGGCUGACUAGAGUGCAGUAGGGGAGUCUGGAAUUCCUGGUGUAGCGGUGAAAUGCGCAGAUAUCAGGAGGAACACCGGUGGCGAAGGCGGGACUCUGGGCUGUAACUGACACUGAGGAGCGAAAGCAUGGGGAGCGAACAGGAUUAGAUACCCUGGUAGUCCAUGCCGUAAACGUUGGGCACUAGGUGUGGGGGACAUUCCACGUUCUCCGCGCCGUAGCUAACGCAUUAAGUGCCCCGCCUGGGGAGUACGGUCGCAAGGCUAAAACUCAAAGGAAUUGAC
rnacentral:rRNA from 1 species